UACGUAGGGCGCGAGCGUUGUCCGGAAUUAUUGGGCGUAAAGAGCUCGUAGGCGGCCUGUUGCGUCUGCUGUGAAAUCCCGGGGCUUAACCCCGGGCGUGCAGUGGAUACGGGCUGGCUGGAGGCAGGCAGGGGAGACUGGAAUUCCUGGUGUAGCGGUGAAAUGCGCAGAUAUCAGGAGGAACACCGGUGGCGAAGGCGGGUCUCUGGGCCGAUACUGACGCUGAGGAGCGAAAGCGUGGGGAGCGAACAGG
rnacentral:rRNA from 1 species